CCAGUCCUGAUGUGUUCGUCGUAUAACCUUAUUGUUUUGACCGAACAAUAAGUUAUACGGGAGCUCGGAGUUUUCAAGCGGCGUACAUGCCUCGAGGAGUUCGAGGACGUGCAAACCUUGAAACAGGGCACCCACCUGCUCGGAGCGGGUUCAAAACGAAGGCAUCGACGGCACGAUUGGGACUUGA
rnacentral:other from 1 species